AUAAACCGGAUAUCGCGUGACUUUUCUCCUCGUCGUGCACGUCUUUCUCUUCGGGACGACGUCGAUACGUUUCGACGCCGCACUUUCGAAAUUUCCAAUCGUUCUAAUUGGUGGAGAGCGAAGAGUACGAUUUCUAUCAAUAACUCCGAGAACGUGCGGUCUAUCCACGGCUAUAGUUACGUCCUACUUUUUAUUUAAAUGGCAACUGCGCAGCCUGAUAGGGAUGAACGUCGAUGAAAGUUUGAUGAGAGACCCGUCAUAGGGCGGUUGCGAAACGAUUAAAGUUUCACCGGAUUCCGCUCACUGAUUCUCCGCUUUCGUGAUUCAUGGGUACGCGUCCGACCGAAGAUGCGCCCUACGGACGCGAAUCAUUCGUUUUAGACGCUUGUUAAUAUCGAUUUGGGAAAAUUGGCCUCGACGAAGGUAAACGACGAUAAAUGGCUGAAAUAUGGAUUUUGGGAUAUCGUUCAAGGUGUUUUCUAAAUCACCGGUCUUUGUUACAGUCGUUUGAUAUUUCCAGCACGAGCAGAUGCAUUGGUAUUAAGCAUUUCGCGUAUCAUUCGUCGUACAUGACCAUGACGCAAAAUAGCAACCGAUUGUUGACAGAAUCUCAUCCGACUCGAUUCGUUGUCGAAUCGAGCUAAAAAAUGACCAUUCCGAUCGAGAAGGUGGAACGCGUGAAAGAAAUGUUCACCAUCGUCGCUGUAACGAAAUAUCCGCUAAAUCAGAAAACUGCUCGUUUGAAGAACCGUCGAGUUCCACAUGUACAAACAUUUCGCGACUAGUUGGAGCGUUUCGAACAAACAACAGGCUCAUGCACGAUUUCAAGCAUCCGCAACGUUCGAACAACGCGAAUGUCCCCGCUAUACCCAGAGGAUACAACGACUACUUCGAAUAGUAAACACAUUACCGGCGCCCUUGCUGGUCCGCGUGAUUUCCAGUGCAUAUCGCUCUUUGUACGCUCUUUGUGCGCUCUUUGUGCUUUAGUAACGUACGAAUUUUGUCUCUAGUUUGUUUGUCUCACGCGAUGGUACCAAGCCACCACGAGUUACGCCGAGAACGAUCACUGGGUCUCUAUGACAUUUUAAAAUGAAAAAUCCGACGAGAAGUGCAAAGAACCACCGUUAUUUUUCAUGAAAAUGUGCUCUGUGUUUGCUAUUUAAAACGAUUCGUUGUAUUCUUCCGUGUUGUAAUUCAAAUUUAUUAGUUGCGAGACUAAAGGAACGAUACGUUCAAGAGAUGGAAUCCAUGUUUUCAAAAUGAUUUGAUUUUCACUACUUCGAUUUUCAAUUCGCUGACACCUCGAUCCAUUUUUCCAACGUUUGCUUCGUGCGAUUAAACAAUGCUGAUUUUUCUCCCCUUCGAGAAUCUAAUACUCGAAACGUCCAACGUGAAUGGAACAUGGCCAAUAGGGGAAAAUCUCAUACAUUUUGAGCUAAAAAAAAAAAGUCAAAUUCCCUUCGUGAAACGUGGGCCGAAACGCGGCCGCGAUUUAUUGCCUUGGCACGAGGCAAUCGUAAUAUGGGGUCGAGCAAUAUCGGAUCAAGCCUCGACUGAGUAAUUAACGCAAAUCGGAAAAAAAGACGAUACCUUCGAGUCGGAAUCGACAAAGUCUAAUUGGUCACUUUCAUCGACAAAUUAUCGCGGAUAAAGAAUAGAUCGACGAAGAAUCGAUCAUUGGUACUACAAACCCGAGCGGAGGAUGAGGAAGCUUUCGAUUUAAAUUCGAUUUCACAUUUAUACAUUCGCGUGUAGUUUAAACGGGAAACUUGUGUAGAAACUCGUUUCAUUUCUCGUUCUCGUUUAUAACAUUCCCAUCCCUCGACGCAUCCAUUGCUGGAUCUUCAAAUUUCCAGCCAAAACUUUCAACAAGUUCUGAUAUUUGCAUUCCUUAAGUGAACGAAUCGCAGAGUCGGUAGCUUCUCGAUCUUCCACAGCUAUUUUCCUGAGAAAUCAAUUUUUCUGAAAAAAGAUCUCCAUUCGAAAGCAAAGAUGCUGGCCACGAAAGUCGAGGCAAAGAAACGAGACGAAGAAUGUUGUUUGUUCGGAGAAGAUUCGUGAUUCGAGGCGAUCGGUGUGCAGUAGUCAUUGGAAAUACGUCGUAAUGUUCUCUCGACAAACAAGAUUCAGCUCGAUCGUAUACGUGGCGCACAGACGGACGACGCUAUGAUUUCUCUUGCUCGUAAUUGAACGAUCGAACAACGUGUAUGGCUUUCAUCGUUGAUCGCAACGAAGGAUGUCCUUAGGACGUGUUUUCGUCCGUGACACGUGCUUCUGUCCAAGUCCAAUGGAUAAAGCGAAUCGCACGCGUUUGGAAUGAAAUCCUCUGUUUUAGACUUAAACCGACGUUUAUCGUAGGCUCGAUAAAUCGGUUUCGUUGGAUCUUGCGGCAAGACUGGAUCGGAGAUUGGUUAAACUCGUUUAGAGUUUAACAGAUAGCCGCUCAUUGGAGAGAACGAAUGGUACGAGAGAGUCGUGCUAGCAAAGCUUGGACAAGAAAAGUUGGAGAACUUAGCGGAAUAUAGCUAUACGAUUCAGUUUGCUACGUAUUAGGCGCCAUAGGCCGUUCACGAUGUUUGGAAUCGACAUCGCGGUACAACAAAGGCUCAACGAGGGUCGAUCGUGUAAUCGAGAACAGAUAGGGCGGCACUGGUUUCAACGCGAACUCCAGAUGAUCGAUCAGGUCGAACGGGCUACAUGGCGAAUUUUAUGCUUUUAACUUAACCACAUACAAUACCACGGCCACUCACGGAAAUUUAACAUUCAACUGUAUCGAGUUUGAAAAAUACACCCACGAUUUAUCAUCGGCGAUAAUUCAACGACGUUGCAGCGACAAACGGCUGGUUUGCCCCUUUUCUCUUUUUUAUUGUUACGAGCGUUUCGAUAUCCGGACAAAAAGCGAGACAAGCUAGAGAAAAGGCGAGAGCAGACGGUCGAAAGCCGAUCGACUCGUCGUUAAACGAAACUAUUUAUUUUUAUUUCCCCGCGGCCAGACGGCGAAUCCCUUUAUCGUAGAAUCCUCUUACGGACUCCAAUUCUGAAAUACAGCCUCGAAACCGGACCACUACAUGCUCCAUUUCGCCCUGUUAUUCUCAAAAGCUUCUCGUUUACCUUAUCUUCCGAUUUCAAGUCCAGUCUGUCUUGUAUUUCCUCCGAUUGUUCCCUGUGUAUCGAGAAUUUCCCGAAUCGUUCGACCAGCUAUUCCAACACAGAUCAUGACCAAUGAUUGCGUCAAAAUAUUUGUAGCGGCACAUAAAUUAGAGGACAAUUCAAAUCAUGUUGUUGUUUUCCUCGGAGUAUCAAGAUCGUUAGGAUACACGUAAUGUAAGAAUAAAUAAACUCCGAGCAAAGCAAUGUACCGUUGAACAAAGACGAAUUUGAAUCUUCCGACUCUCCCCCGACCAUUAUAAAUAAGCGGACGCAAUCGUAAGGAAAUGAGUUACAGUCAGUUGUCGCUCAGUUAUUAACCAGUUAUUAACGAAUUAUCAGCGAUCUAGUUAACGAGCCAUUAACGAUCUUAUUUUACGACUUAUACACUGUCUUAGCGAAUCGGUUAGUACGAGCGUCUUUGCGAACAUUAUCUGUAUAAUAAUUUAUCAUUUUAAAUAUAUUGGACAGUUUCAACAA